AUUUACCUGAGAGAGGAGUUGCUGUCGGAAGGCACCAUUUCUAGACAUUUGCAACAAAUAACUGGUCAAAAAAUGAAAAGCAGCUCUUUUCUCAUCCUCUGUUUUCUAUUCCUUAUAAUGGAUGUAUCGAGAGAUACCCACGCUGCUUACAAAAAAUCUUUGAAAAAGAAUGAUUACAGAUCGAAAAGGCUGCCAUCUCGUGCUGCUGCUGUGUUACCACCUGCACUUACUUUUUAUGAUAAUAAUCGUAUUAUCAGUUAUGAAGACUUAGUAAUGAAAGUACUCGGCGAAUAAAAGGCA